UACAGGGGGUGCAAACGUUGCUCGGAAUUACUGGGCGUAAAGGGCUCGUAGGUGGCCAACUAAGUCAGACGUGAAAUCCCUCGGCUUAACCGGGGAACUGCGUCUGAUACUGGAUGGCUUGAGUUUGGGAGAGGGAUGCGGAAUUCCAGGUGUAGCGGUGAAAUGCGUAGAUAUCUGGAGGAACACCGGUGGCGAAGGCGGCAUCCUGGACCAACACUGACACUGAGGAGCGAAAGCCAGGGGAGCAAACGGG
rnacentral:rRNA from 1 species